rnacentral:rRNA from 1 species
UACAGGGGGGGCAAGCGUUGUUCGGAAUUACUGGGCGUAAAGGGCUCGUAGGCGGCCAACUAAGUCACACGUGAAAUCCCCAGGCUUAACCUGGGAACUGCGUGUGAUACUGGAUGGCUUGAAUUCGGGAGAGGGAUGCAGAAUUCCAGGUGUAGCGGUGAAAUGCGUAGAUAUCUGGAGGAAUACCGGUGGCGAAGGCGGCAUCCUGGACCGACAUUGACGCUGAGGAGCGAAAGCUAGGGGAGCAAACGGGG